GCGUUGGUUUGUAACACCCGCGGCCAAACAGAAGAUGUUCCAAUACAAACUUCUCGUCCUUUGUUUCUUCGCUUCUUUUAUUCUACUGGCUUUAUGCCUCGAGCAAGAAGGCCCAGUUAGUCAAGAACUGAACGACGAAAGCUCUUUGGACCUCAGAGAAUUAAGAAGAAGAAAGUUUCCUAAGCGAAGUUAUAACCAAAUGUGUAGAAGUAUACGCUGGGCUAGGUUUCGGAAGUGUUCUUCACGUUAGUUGUAACAGGCUUCAUUGAUCAAGUCGGCGAGACCAAAGUUCAUUAUUCAGUAUUCCGGAUAAUGCUUCAGUAACACUCAAAAGGCAAGAUUGGCUUAUGUAUCAUGGCGAAGAAAUUAAAAACCUUUGUUAAACUUCGA